UGCAGUCUUACACUUGACUCGCUCUUCUUGACGCUGAACUUCAUCGACUUGGCCACCUCUUCCAGUCUCGAUAUUACACUGCUCGCUGGCCUUGUUGUAGCGAAUCUUAGCUCCUCUUUCUCUUCUCUCUUCUUCUCUUCAAACAACGGUGACAAAUCGAAGCCCUCGGAUAAGGAAAUGAUAUGGAAAGCGUUCAGAGUCUCAGGCUUGGAUGAUUUCUCGCCAUUGAAGGCUUCAAAUUCUAGCUCCUCCUUGGUUCUAAUAGUCUUGGGUAUUGAUUUCUUGAACCAAGACGAGUCCAUCACCUUUGAAGUGGUGAUUCGGGUAUUUGGGUUGGGAUCUAAAAGCUUAGUAAUUAAUCUACGAGCUUCAGGGGAAAA
rnacentral:lncRNA from 1 species